rnacentral:ncRNA from 1 species
CUUUCAUCCAGAGAGGCGGAGGGACAGGCCCGAUGAAGCCCGGCAACCGACACCCGUGGGGUGUGAGGUGCCAACUCCUGCCGGAGACCCCGGAGAGAUGAGAG